GACGAACGCUGGCGGCGUGCUUAACACAUGCAAGUCGAACGGUAAGGCCCUUCGGGGUACACGAGUGGCGAACGGGUGAGUAACACGUGGGUGAUCUGCCCUGCACUUCGGGAUAAGCCUGGGAAACUGGGUCUAAUACCGGAUAGGACCACUGCAUGCAUGGGUGGUGGUGGAAAGCUUUUGCGGUGUGGGAUGGGCCCGCGGCCUAUCAGCUUGGGGGUGGGGUGAUGGCCUACCAAGGCGACGGCGGGUAGCCGGCCUGAGAGGGUGACCGGCCACACUGGGACGGAGAGACGGCCCAGACUCCUACGGGAGGCAGCAGUGGGGAAUAUUGCACAAUGGGCGCAAGCCUGAUGCAGCGACGCCGCGUGAGGGAUGUCGGCCUUCGGGUUGUAAACCUCUUUCAGCACCGACGAAGCGCAAGUGACGGUAGGUGCAGAAGAAGGACCGGCCAACUACGUGCCAGCAGCCGCCGUAA
rnacentral:rRNA from 1 species